rnacentral:rRNA from 1 species
UACGAAGGGGGCUAGCGUUGUUCGGAAUCACUGGGCGUAAAGGGCGCGUAGGCGGCCAUCUAAGUCAGACGUGAAAUCCCCCGGCUUAACCUGGGAACUGCGUCUGAUACUGGAAGGCUUGAGUAUGGGAGAGGGAUGUAGAAUUCCAGGUGUAGCGGUGAAAUGCGUAGAUAUCUGGAGGAAUACCGGUGGCGAAGGCGGCAUCCUGGACCAUUACUGACGCUGAGGCGCGAAAGCGUGGGGGAGCAAACAGG